UCUACGGGGGGCUGCAGUGAGGAAUAUUGGUCAAUGGCCGGAAGGCUGAACCAGCCAUGCCGCGUGAAGGUCAGUGCCCUAUGGGCGUUAAACUUCUUUUGUGCGGGAGCAAUAAUGGUCACGUGUGGCCAGACGAGAGUACCGUACGAAUAAGCAUCGGCUAACUCCGUGCCAGCAGCCGCGGUAAUACGGGGGAUGCAAGCGUUAUCCGGAUUUAUUGGGCGUAAAGGGUGCGUAGGCGGCCCUGCAAGUCAGAAGUGAAAUCCAUGGGCUUAACCCGUGAACUGCUUUUGAAACUGUAGGGCUUGAGUGAAGUAGAGGCAGGCGGAAUUCCCGGUGUAGCGGUGAAAUGCGUAGAGAUCGGGAGGAACACCAGUGGCGAAGGCGGCCUGCUGGGCUUUAACUGACGCUGAAGCACGAAAGCGUGGGUAGCAAACAGGAUUAGAUACCCGAGUAGUC
rnacentral:rRNA from 1 species